AAGUCGUAACAAGGUUUCCGUAGGUGAACCUGCGGAAGGAUCAUUAACACGUAUCCAACGUUAAACAACCCUGUGAACUUUCAGCCUGCUCUUGUAACCAUGAGGAACAGCAAUCCCGGUAAAUCAUUGCAAACAGUUUUGAUUCGGGACCUCUGUCCAAAAGGUGUUCACUGAUUGUGUAAGGAUAACGCCUCACGGUUGCCAGAGGUCGAUCACCGACCGGCAGACAUGUCACAGGGUCACCACGCCCCUUAAUCACCCCAAUUUGAAAUUGCUCCUACCUGGUGGUAACGCACUGGGUCAAAAAAACCGAACAACUGUUAACAAUGGAUAUCUUGGUUCUC
rnacentral:misc_RNA from 1 species